rnacentral:rRNA from 1 species
UACGUAGGGAGCAAGCGUUGUUCGGAUUUACUGGGCGUAAAGGGCGCGUAGGCGGCGCGGUAAGUCACUUGUGAAAUCUCUGAGCUUAACUCAGAACGGCCAAGUGAUACUGCAGUGCUAGAGUGCAGAAGGGGCAAUCGGAAUUCUUGGUGUAGCGGUGAAAUGCGUAGAUAUCAAGAGGAACACCUGAGGCGAAGGCGGGUUGCUAGGCUGACACUGACGCUGAGGCACGAAAGUGUGGGGAUCAAACAGG